AGUGAACGCUGGCGGCAGGCCUAACACAUGCAAGUCGAGCGGCAGCGCGGGGGCAACCCUGGCGGCGAGCGGCGGACGGGUGAGGAAUUCGUCGGAAUCUGCCUUUUUGUGGGGGAUAACGUAGGGAAACUUACGCUAAUACCACAUACGUCCUACGGGAGAAAGUGGGGGACCGCAAGGCCUCACGCAGAAAGAUGAGCCGACGACCGAUUAGCUAGUUGGUGGGGUAAAGGCCCACCAAGGCGACGAUCGGUAGCUGGUCUGAGAGGAUGAUCAGCCACACUGGGACUGAGACACGGCCCAGACUCCUACGGGAGGCAGCAGUGGGGAAUAUUGGACAAUGGGCGCAAGCCUGAUCCAGCCAUGCCGCGUGUGUGAAGAAGGCCUUCGGGUUGUAAAGCACUUUUGUCCGGAAAGAAAUCCCUGGAGCUAAUACCUUCGGGGGAUGACGGUACCGGAAGAAUAAGCACCGGCUAACUUCGUG
rnacentral:rRNA from 1 species